rnacentral:sRNA from 1 species
CGAUAGCAGAGCAAAUCAUCAGAUCACUAAAACUUAUCAUGGGACUGGAUGGGACCACUCAAGCCACCGAGCCUCAACCCAUCCAUUGCAGCAGAUCUCAAAAGAGUGAGCUAUUCUGCUGGCUUCCCAUCUACCCUUCUCAUGAAGUUUCCAGCCCCUGCAGCCUGUCCCCCGCCUGUCCUCUGCCUCCUUGCUCCAUGGAUCCUGCUCCCUCUAAAGCCACUCCUGUAAGCACACUCCCCUGCUUCUCUGCCAGAUUAAACUUGAUCUCUCUGCA